CUAUGGGAGCCCAAUGUGGGUCUUGAUCCCAGGACCCCAGGAUCAUGACCUGAGCUGAAGAAAAACUAAUGAAGAGGACAUACACGAUCUAUCUUCAGGAACAACAACAACAAAAAAAAAACACUGACUAUUCUCCCAACCAAGUUUUUCAGAAGCAAUAAUCUUUUACUUUAGAAGUCACUGAAAUUUUCUCUAGAAGACCAAAUUCCUCUUUGAUUGAUUGGACUUCAUCAAGUGGAAUGGGGAGGAAGAAACUAAAGAAAAAAGUUAAAAAAUGGAUGCUCUUCUGUUUCAUUCUAAUUAAUAUCACUAACAUGGAAAGAAACCAACUCUAUCAAGCUUGACUGUUUGCAUGUUAAGUGGGAUUCCCUCCUUGAAGACAUUUUUGCAUUGUCAAGGGAUUAAACUGGCAACUGUCAGGCUGUUCUCAUGCAAACCACAGAAUUUGCCCCUCCUCUUUGAGUCUGAUGGAGAUUUAUGCCAGAUGCUCAGAAGAAAGGACUGAAUUUCAAAAUCUGAAAGUCAGCAUAGGGGGAGAGAAGAUUGCAAGAGGAAAAAAGUGGAUUAUUUCAGCAUUCUGAAGUUCUUGAAAACUUGGGAACAUGCGUUGUUAACAUAUAAAUUAACACAAAGACAUA